ACUGGUAUGGUCAGAUAGACUAGUGGUUAGAGUGGUGGGUCAGUAACUGGUAUGGUCAGAUAGACUAGUGGUUAGAGUGGUGGUUUCAGUAACUGGUAUGGUCAGAUAGACUAGUGGUUAGAGUGGUGGGUCAGUAACUGGUAUGGUCAGAUAGACUAGUGGUUAGAGUGGUGGGUCAGUAACUGGUAUGGUCAGAUAGACUAGUGGUUAGAGUGGUGGGUCAGUAACUGGUAUGGUCAGAUAGACUAGUGGUUAGAGUGGUGGGUCAGUAACUGGUAUGGUCAGAUAGACUAGUGGUUAGAGUGGUGGUUUCAGUAACUGGUAUGGUCAGAUAGACUAGUGGUUAGAGUGGUGGGUCAGUAACUGGUAUGGUCAGAUAGACUAGUGGUUAGAGUGGUGGG